GCACUAGAUCCACCACUAUCUAGAACCCUAAUCUUUUUAGAGCAUUAAUUUGUUAAAGGCGGUGGGAGGAAAAAGUUUCAAUUAGUUGAUUCAAAUUUAUUUGAAACAAUGUUUAGUUUGCUAUGUUAUUGUUACAUAAUCAAUUAGUUAAGUAGUCAAAUAGAGUUACCUGUCCAUAUGGAUUAAGUUCAUGAUACUGUCAAGGAAGGCACUUGUGGUACAUCUUCUUGUGCUGUUAAUAUGCAGGCUAAAUUUGAUGAAAUGAUGACAUAUCUUUUCA
rnacentral:lncRNA from 1 species